UACGUAGGUGGCAAGCGUUAUCCGGAAUUACUAGGCGUAAAGCGCACGCAGGCGGUCUUUUAAGUUUGACGUGAAAGCUCCCGGCUUAACUGGGAGAGGUCGUUGAAGACUGGAAGACUUGAGGCAAUGAGAGGGGUGUAGAAUUCCCGGUGUAGUGGUGGAAUGCGUAGAUAUCGGGGGGAAUACCAGUGGCGAAAGCGGCACCCUAGCGUUAGCCUGACGCUCAUGUGCGAAAGCGUGGGGAGCGAACGGG
rnacentral:rRNA from 1 species